AUGCCAUUUGCAUGUGGACCCUCGACCUGCAACUGGGUAUUCUCUUUUUCAUGCCAAUUGCAAGUGGAUCCUCGACUUGCAACUUGGUCUUUUUAUUUGAUGCCACUUGCAAGUGGCCCCUCGACUUGCAACUCUGUCUUCUAUUUUUUUGAUGCCACUUGUAAGUGGACCCUCGACUUGCAACCGAGUUCCUUUGUUUUUCAUGCCACUUGCAAGUGGACCCUCAACUUGCAACUACGUCUUCUUUUUUUAUGCCACUUGCAAGUGGACCCUCAACUUGCAACAGGGUUCCUUUGUUUUUCAUGCCACUUGCAAGUGGACCCUCGACUUGCAACCAUUUCUUCUUUUUUUAUGCCACUUGCAAGUGGCCCCUCGACUUGCAACCGAGUUCCUUUGUUUUUCAUGCCACUUGCAAGUGGACCCUCGACUUGCAACUACAUCUUCUAUUUUUUUGAUGUCAUUUGCAAGUGGACCCUCGACUUGCAACCGGGUUCCUUUUUUUAUGCCACUUGCAAGUGGACACUCGAGUUGCAACCAGGUCUUGUUUUUUAUGCCACUUGCAAGUGGCCCCUAGACUUGCAACCGGGUUCCUUUGUUUUUCAUGCCACUUGCAAGUGGCCCCUUGACUUGCAACCGCGUCUUCCAUUUUUUUGA
rnacentral:rRNA from 1 species